rnacentral:rRNA from 1 species
UACGUAGGGUCGCGAGCGUUGUCCGGAAUUACUGGGCGUAAAGAGCUCGUAGGUGGUUUGUCGCGUUGUUCGUGAAAACUCACAGCUUAACUGUGGGCGUGCGGGCGAUACGGGCAGACUAGAGUACUGCAGGGGAGACUGGAAUUCCUGGUGUAGCGGUGAAAUGCGCAGAUAUCAGGAGGAACACCGGUGGCGAAGGCGGGUCUCUGGGCCGAUAUUGACGCUGAGGAGCGAAAGCGUGGGGAGCGAACAGG